CGCCGGGUGUAUUAUGUCUAGUCUAUGGCAGUUGUAUUUAUCUGCCCGGCCGGGAUGCAGUGUACCUGGGUGCAUGCUCUGGCCUCCUCCUCCUGCUGCUGCCUAGCUCAUCUUCCUCCUCACGACCGGCCGGCCUCUCCUCAUCUCCUCUCUUUUCCUGCAGCAACUUCUCCUGAAAACAACUAACUGUUCCUCGCCGUACCGUACGUACUCGAACACUCUCUUUCUCGCUCGUCGUAUCGAUUGCUGUCUGCUGCUGGACGAUGCGCUUCUCCUCGUCGCCUUCUUCGCCUCACCGGCAUCAGCAGACCUGUAAAUGCAUGUUUGGACGACGUACGGAAGAAUAAACGAUCGAUGCUUACUUCUGCAAAUUAAACCAUGCACCACCACGUACCUGCGAAUCAGUACCACCAGGUCAACUCAGCUUCUAUGCAGCCUUAGAGUGAGUGCUAUCCUAUCGAUGGUUAAAAUGGCAUAUGAAGUAUGGAGAAGGAAAGCAGUGCCAGCCUGCCAGGCAGCAGGGCACCCAUAUAGGCACCUGCGUUAUGACGUAGCAAAGGUAGCAGAGAGGCUGAUUGGUGGGCACGCACAAUUACGAUGGAAUUGCUCAUUCAAGUUUAACUCCUUGAUUUGGUAUCUUUAUAUUUUUUUAGAUUUAUUCUAGAAGAAAUGGUGAUACAUACUCUUUUAGUGUAGAUGAUAUAUAUGUUCGCUUAACAAGAUGUAUAUGGUGACUAGCUUUAUCAAUCUUAAGACUUAUCAGUUUAUUGAUUACUCUUUUAGAGAUGUCAGACUAGGCUAUGUCUGCAUGAUAUAGGGUUAAAGUUUGUGCAUAUGGCGCGCUACAUUUAUAUUUUAUAGGGAUAAGUGCGCGUACUUAUAUACAAGCAUAUGUGUUUAGAAAUAAAAAUUGAGUUGAGAUGAUGUGAGCUGUUGGAUUGGCAACAUAAGAGGUAGGUGUUUCACAAAGUGUAUCUCCUUUUCUUUACACUGAUCCUUAACCCUUUUGCUUUACCAAAUUUACUGCAUCACACUACAUGCAUGCAUCAGCGUGACUGACAUUUUCGCUGACUUUGCCUUAUAAAUUAGUCUCCAUAUUGCACAACGGCGUGAAAAUGGUGUUUUGUCAAGCCAUUUAUUUUGGCGAGUAAAAAAAUUAUUUCUUGCCAUUUAAAUUUUGUACUAAAAGAGGCUUAAAACCUACGGAUUCGACGUAGUUGUCGCCAUAAUUUGAGGAACGAACAUGCAUGCAUGAUGCAUGAUGAACAUUAUCCGCAUCUUUCGCAUGGUUUUGCAAAGAAACGUGCAGUAAAACAAGUAGAACCAACAGCUCUCUGCUGCGCGCUCUGCCUGCCCUUUUGCCUACUAGUUGUGUGCGCUACUCUGUACUUUACUCAUUCAGUCAUUCUCACUGCCCACUCACAAACUAAGGUAAGACAAGAAAAUUAACCUACUCCUAUACCUCACGUUGGUCAUCU